CGUCUCUGUGGUUCGUCUGGAUUCUGUUGCCAGGGGCAACGACGGUGCUUCCAGAGGGAGGGAGGGAGGUUGUGCUUGAGCGCCUUCCACCGUGUUCCCCAAGGAAUGACAAGAGGGAGAGGGACAGGCCGAGGACCCCACGGAGAAAGCGCUGGCCCUGUCCUUUUACUUACUCAAGAACCUUCCCUGGCUACCCAGCGGUCACGUGAAAAAGUCCCAACUCUGUGUGGGGGUAAAAUCCCCACGACCCAGCCACGUGCUAUGAAAUGAGGAUACGAAUAGCACCGGCUUCAUAGGAGGUCUGUGAGGAUGAUGCUGCAAUUCGAAAUCUCUGAAUAAAUCGCGGACGUUAUCAUGAUUUUGUUGUUGUUCAGUCGCCAAGUCGUGUCCGACUCUUUGCUGCUCCAUGGACUGCAGGUUUACUCCUUUAAGAACAGUUCUUGAGAGUCCGUUCUGUACCAGCAGUGAAGAAAACAAAAUUCCCUGACCUCAAAGAACUCGUGAUCUUUUUGAUUGGAGGAGAGAGCCAGAAAAUAUAAAAUCUAUGGUGGACUGGAUGGUGUUAGUAAUGUGGAGAAAAAUAAAGCGGGAAACAGGAUUGAGGGAAUGGGAGGGUGGACGCAGUUUGUAACAUUACAUAAGAAUCACACACAGGAAAAGGGCUUGCUUGAGACCACCAGGGAAAUUUGACUGGAUCCAGGUAUUAGAUGAUAUAAAGGAGCUAUUGUUGAUUUUGUUAAGAAUGGUAAUGACAUUGUAAUGAUGUUUAAAAAUAAAAUUUUUUUCAG